UACGUAGGGUGCAAGCGUUAAUCGGAAUCACUGGGCGUAAAGCGUGCGUAGGCGGCUUUGCAAGUCAGGGGUGAAAUCCCAUAGCUUAACUAUGGAACUGCCUUUGAAACUGCAAAGCUAGAAUGUGAGAGGGGAUGGCGGAAUUCCUAAUGUAGAGGUGAAAUUCGUAGAUAUUAGGAGGAACACCCGUGGCGAAAGCGGCCAUCUGGAUCACAAUUGACGCUGAUGUACGAAAGCGUGGGUAGCAAACAGG
rnacentral:rRNA from 1 species